AUGGCAUCUCCGGCGCCGCCGCUCAAGGACGCCGUCGGAGUCCUGGACCGCGACCCCUUCGUCGCCCUCCUCUCCAAGCUCAUCGGCGAGUCCCAGCGCCUGCAGAACGACCCGCCGGCCCUCGUCCCGCAGGAGGACCUCGUGGCGCAGCACGUCGUCGACGCGCUUCGCCCGGUGUCGACGGACACCGGUGGCGGCCCGCUCGUCGUGCGGAAGGUGAGCUACACAGACGGCCGGAGCAACGUCAUCGUCGAGUACCCCGGCACCGUCCCCGGCCGCGUCGUCUCCUUCGUCGGCAUGCACAUGGACGUCGUUCCGGCCAACCCUAGCGAAUGGGACUUUGAUCCCUUCUCACUAACCUUCGAAGGUAAUGACAAGGAAAAGCUUAGGGGCCGUGGGACGACCGACUGCCUUGGUCAUGUGGCGCUUGUGACUCAGCUCAUGCGGCGGCUUGGUGAGGUGAAACCACCAUUGAAGCAUUCUGUCAUUGCGGUGUUCAUUGCCAAUGAAGAGAAUUCAUCGGUCACUGGCAUUGGUGUUGAUGGACUUGUCAAGGAUGGUUUGCUGGAUAAGCUCAAGACUGGACCCUUGUUUUGGAUAGAUACUGCGGAUAAGCAGCCAUGCAUUGGUACCGGUGGGAUGAUCCCUUGGCAUCUGAAGGCAACAGGGAAGCUGUUUCACAGUGGCCUCGCACAUAAGGCCAUAAAUUCGAUGGAGUUAAAUAUGGAUGCACUUAAAGAAAUUCAAACUCGGUUUUACAAUGACUUCCCUGCACAUGAAAAAGAGAAGCUCUACAAAUUUGCUACUCCAUCUACAAUGAAGCCAACCAAGUGGAGUUAUCCUGGUGGGGGUCUGAACCAAAUUCCUGGAGAGUGUACAAUUUCAGGGGAUAUAAGGUUGACUCCUUUCUAUAGCACGAGUUUUGUAGUCCAGAAGUUAAAAGAGUAUGUAGAUGAUAUAAAUGCUGGACUUGAAACAAAGCUUCCUACUCGUGGUCCAGUUUCGAAAUAUGUUCUUCCCGAUGAAAAUCUGCGAGGAAGGCUUGAAAUCGCUUUUGAUGGAGAUGUGAUGAAUGGGGUGGCCUGUAAUCUUGAGUCUCGGGGCUUUCAAGCAUUAUGCAAAGCAACUGAAGAAAUAGUCGGAUACGUAGAGCCGUAUUCCAUCACCGGGAGUUUGCCUCUGAUUCGUGAAUUACAGGAUGAAGGAUUUGAUGUUCAAACUGCUGGAUAUGGCUUACUGAAGACGUACCACGCGAAGAACGAGUAUUGUCUGUUUUCAGAUAUGGCCCAAGGCUUUCAAGUGUUUGUAAGCAUCAUUUCGCAGCUGGAAGCAGAUGCUUAA
rnacentral:rRNA from 1 species